rnacentral:rRNA from 1 species
AGAGUUUGAUCCUGGCUCAGAACGAACGCUGGCGGCAGGCUUAACACAUGCAAGUCGAACGUGAAGCAGGAGCUUGCUCCUGUGGAAAGUGGCAGACGGGUGAGUAACGCGUGGGAAUUUACUCAGUGGUUCGGAAUAACUUCGGGAAACCGGAGCUAAUACCGAAUACGCCCUCCGGGGGAAAGAUUUAUCGCCAUUGGAUGAGCCCGCGUCGGAUUAGCUUGUUGGUGAGGUAAAAGCUCACCAAGGCGACGAUCCGUAGCUGGUCUGAGAGGAUGAUCAGCCACACUGGGACUGAGACACGGCCCAGACUCCUGCGGGAGGCAGCAGUGGGGAAUAUUGCGCAAUGGAGGAAACUCUGACGCAGCCAUGCCGCGUGAGUGAAGAAGGCCUUAGGGUUGUAAAACUCUUUCACCGGUGAAGAUAAUGACGGUAGCCGGAGAAGAAGCCCCGGCCAACUCCGUGCCAGCAGCCGCGGUAAU